UACGUAGGGCGCAAGCGUUGUCCGGAAUUAUUGGGCGUAAAGAGCUCGUAGGCGGUUUGUCGCGUCUGUCGUGAAAGCUUGGGGCUUAACCCCAAGUCUGCGGUGGAUACGGGCAGACUAGAGGCAGGUAGGGGAGAACGGAAUUCCCGGUGUAGCGGUGAAAUGCGCAGAUAUCGGGAGGAACACCCGUGGCUAAGGCGGUUCUCUAGUACGGUACUGACGCUGAGACGCGAAAGCGUGGGGAGCGAACAGG
rnacentral:rRNA from 1 species